rnacentral:rRNA from 1 species
AACGAACGCUGGCGGCAGGCUUAACACAUGCAAGUCGAGCGCCCCGCAAGGGGAGCGGCAGACGGGUGAGUAACGCGUGGGAACGUACCCUUUACUACGGAAUAGCUCCGGGAAACUGGAAUGAAUACCGUAUGUGCCCUUCGGGGGAAAGAUUUAUCGGGAAAGGAUCGGCCCGCGUUGGAUUAGCUAGUUGGUGGGUUAAAGGCAUACCAAGGCGGAGAUCCAUGGCGGGUCCGAGAGGAUGAUCAGCCACAUUGGGACUAAGACACGGCCCAAACUCCUACGGGUGGCAGCAGUGGGGAAUAUUGGACAAUUGGCGCAAGCCUGAUCCAGCCAUGCCGCGUGAGUGAUGAAGGCCUUAGGGUUGUAAAGCUCUUUCACCGAUGAAGAUAAUGACGGUAGUCGGAGAAGAAGCCCCGGCUAAAUUCGUGCCAGCAGCCGCCGUAAGAC